UACAGAGGUGGCAAGCGUUGUUCGGAAUUACUGGGCGUAAAGGGCGCGUAGGCGGCCUUCUAAGUCAGACGUGAAAUCCCCCGGCUUAACCUGGGAACUGCGUCUGAAACUGGUCGGCUUGAAUAUGGAAGAGGGUCGCGGAAUUCCCGGUGUAGAGGUGAAAUUCGUAGAUAUCGGGAGGAACACCAGUGGCGAAGGCGGCGACCUGGGCCAAUAUUGACGCUGAGGUGCGAAAGCGUGGGGAGCAAACAGG
rnacentral:rRNA from 1 species